GAUAACAAUAAUAAAUAAAUCUCGACGCAUACAUGAUACUUCUGAUGUUUAUCAUUACGUCGUGAUUUGAUCUGCACGAUUUAUGUAAUCGGUAUACGCAACUCUUCUGCCGCCGUGACGAAAAAAAGCUCUCUUUCUGGCGCCGAUUCAAUGGCAAGGUGGAAAGGACACAGGCAGAUGCCUUUCCCGUGCUCGGACAUGCGAAAAGUUUUUUUCGAAUAUACGAAAACGUCUCCGAUCAACCUCCGCUUCUAUUUUCAUGUCUGACUUUUCUUAGCAAAAAUUCGUUUGCGCGCGCACGCAUGGACGCGAUUGUACAUUACCGGUCGCCUCUCGAUUCUCACAAUGUUACACGGUGGACCCAGGCAAGAUCCGUUGAUCCUCGCAACGUGAAGUGUGCUCACUUAUCAGUCGCUUUACAAGCGGUUGCUAUGCGAUAUGGAAGGGGUGUCCGGAGUCACCUACUAGCUCCGACCAGUCAGAAGUCAGUGUGCGUAAGCCGGCCGGUCGUGCUGGCUCUCCUUUCCUGUUGCCGUUGCUCUCUCGCGCGCACUCUCGCGCAUGCACCCGUCGAAGAGCUGCUCCACAGCAACGUAGCCUCGAAAAAGAGAGUCUGUCUUCUGGAAGCGGUCGCACUGGGACGAAUAUCGCGCCGGUCGAUUUGUCGAUCUUGAAAGAUCACGAGAUCACGGGAGUUCGCGCGCUUGUUUUUGACGCUUCGGCGCUUUUAAGGCGCGUUGCCUGCGGGAAUUCGAGAAUCGCCCCUCGGGCGAGGUUGUGAAUCUAUCUUUAAGAUUCGGGUACUGUUAAAGUCUCUUGGAGAAGAGAAUGCCAAACAAGUCUCUCGGAGGAAUUUUUCCGCUGUGAAGCUGCUGAGUUUUCUGGCCAUUGGCGGAAUUAUCUCGCAUGAAAUGCCAGGAUUGAGUUCUUCGAACCUCCCUCGCAAGUCAGCCGACUCUAACAGGAUCUUCAUCAGGAAUCUUCGGCCGGGACUUAUGCGGCAGGAGAAACGUGCGUUUUGAAUUCCGUGUUGCCGGCGCGUCUCGCCGGUGAUCGACCGUUCGCACAGAAGGUCCGGAAGGAGACAAACACUGAGCAGCGAAAAGAGUUCACGUUUUUACGGGUUCCCUUAGAAAGAGCAAAUCAAGGAAGAGGACGAUUUCGCCUCAUCACGUUGUCAUCACCUUGAGAUCUCGCGGGGAUCGAUGAUGUCGGGACCAUAAUAUCGCCAGGUCAUCAUACAAGACGGACGAGACUUUUAUGCCUUUCUGUCUUUGACGCGGAAGCACACGAAGUGAAUGAAUUUUCGAUCACUUUGGUUGGCGACUUUUUCCUUACGUUCGAAGAAAGUUACAUUUGCUGGAGUGGAUUCCUUAUCGUUUCAUCAAUCGAGCAGGUUUUAUCAGUUGACCGUUAACACACACUCGACAUUCUUCAAUAUACGAAGAAGAAUCAUCUCGGUAGAUCGUGCGAGAUUUCAUAAUCGUUGGUAAAAUACACAGUGCUCGUCGAUGUAAGUCUUUAAAUCGGCGUAAAGAAAUCGCUGGAUCGUAAGGAACGAUAUUCUCCUUCACGCAUGUGGAUUCUCUCGGCUUUGCGCAUUGCGAAAAUGAAUUGAUCGUUUAUACUGACAGCGUCUGUGCAGUACGGAGAGGUUUUUGACGAAAGCCUGUCGACAAGUGACGUUCGACUCCGUCUCGCGCGGAAAAGUUACCAUGACGCAGGAGGAGGAAGACACUACGACGUUCAAGCCAAAGACUUCGACGGAGCAGAUGAGUUCGAUGACAAUACCAUUCUGAAUGCCACUCAGUUCUGAAAUUUCACUCAGUUGCUUGAUAAUGUGUCGUAAUACGAAGAGCUGAAUGUAUCCAGGAUAGAAAAACGUUCGACUACAGAAAGAAUUACUGCGAAUGGUGCAAGGAUAUGGUGACCACGUUAGAUCUUUUGAACAAGUAGCGGCUUAUCUCUGCUGUGACACACACACACACACAUACACAAGAGGUGUCUGAUCGUGCAACUUCCACGCGGUACACCUUGGUUAAUGCCGCCGGUAUUGUAACUUUCAAGCCCCAUAACUCGAAAAAUAUUCAUUAAAAUAUAACUUAUUUAUGGUAUUCUGUAAAGUUCUCAAGAUGAGCUACAAGAAUAUAUAAUGAAAAAUAAGGGGUUCCAUUUAAAAAAACAAAAUUGAACUCAGUAUGACCUUGGAACGUUCAUUCAAGGUCAAUCCAAUGACACUAUCUUAUGUCCUUCCUCGAACCAAAUAACUUUCGUCUGAAACAUUUCUUUCUGAAAUGCAUAGUUUAUGAAAUAUUCGACCUUUUCCAGACUUCUGAUACACCCUGUAUCUUCUUGAGACUAAA